UACAGAGGGGGCAAGCGUUGUCCGGAUUUACUGGGCGUACAGCGCGCGCAGGCGGAUGGUGACGUGCCGUGUGACAAGCCACAGCUCAACUGUGGAGGGCCAUGGUAGACGCACGGUCUGGAGGCAGGGAGAGGGAUGUGGAAUACCCGGUGGAGCGGUGAAAUGCGUAGAGAUCGGGUGGAACACCAGCGGCGAAGGCGGCAUCCUGGUCCUGACCUGACGCUGAGGCGCGAGAGCGUGGGGAGCGAACCGG
rnacentral:misc_RNA from 1 species